rnacentral:tRNA from 2 species
GGGCGAGUGGCGGAAAUGGCAGACGCGCUGGCUUCAGGUGCCAGUGAGGGAAACCUCGUGGGGGUUCAAGUCCCCCCUCGCCCACCA